CAAUAGCGUAUAUUAAAGUUGUUGCAGUUAAAAAGCUCGUAGUUGGAUUUGUGGCGUGCGGUGGGUUCCGGGCACUUGUUGUCUGAGUAACUUGCUGUUGCCAUCCUUGGGUGGAACCUGUGUGGCAUUAGGUUGUCGUGCAGGGGAUGCCCAUCAUUUACUGUGAAAAAAUUAGAGUGUUCAAAGCAGGCUUAUGCCGUUGAAUAUAUUAGCAUGGAAUAAUGAGAUAGGACUUUUUUGCUAUUUUGUUGGUUUGCGCAAAGAGGUAAUGAUUAACAGGGACAGUUGGGGGUAUUCGUAUUCCAUUGUCAGCGGUGAAAUUCUUGGAUUUUUGGAAGACGAACUACUGCGAAAGCAUUUACCAAGGAUGUUUUCAUUAA
rnacentral:rRNA from 1 species